CAGUUGCAGAUAGCCAGACCUAAAUUUGGAACACUAAGCAAUCAAUUCGUCAGGACGCUGUCUACCCAUUGCCCUUGGUGACCGUUGGACUCCAGGCCACACUGUGAGGGAUUUGGACUGUCUUUGUCAGUGAUGGAUGAGGAAUGAAUGACAAGACAGCUUGGUUGGUGUGGCAGUUGACGGCUCUCUGCUGCUCCACCUGGUCCUCCAGUUCAAAGAUGGUCUCCUUCAGCUCCUUCACCUGGUUCUCAGCCUGGAUCCCGACAUCCUCCAGAGAAGUCACCCGGCUGGUGAGCUCCUGCUCCCUCCUCUCAGCCCGCUCCUGAACCUGCUGGCAUUUGGCCUCCACCUAUUAGCUUGUUGGUGAGUGAAGUUAUGGAGUGGCCUCACCCUCACACCCAUGUGGCAGAGGACAGGAGCGUGACUCAGAGGGUCACACACCGAUGGACCACCCUACUGCUGGCACAGCAGUCGCAGUCCAACAAUGAUGACAUCACUAAGCUGUUGGAGACACGCCUCACUUUGGAGUCAACAUGACACCAAACCCACACUGCCUGAGCCUUUUUGGUGUUUGUGGUGUUGAAGGGGAAAACCAAAGUGACAACUGAGAAACAUAUGAAAACAAUUUGAGCGAACAUGAGUUCACGUGCAGUGCUGGUGAAGAAAAGUACCUCAAACCAGCUGUAAAUCCUGUUUGAACCAUUGUGGAAAGUGUGUCCUCAUGUUCACAUUCAAUACGUGACUGAGCACAGAACUAUUAAUAAUGUUACAGUUGCCCAUUUAAUUUACA